rfam:Kockovaella imperatae strain NRRL Y-17943 BD324scaffold_17, whole genome shotgun sequence.
GCAUCUAUGGCCGAGUGGUGAUGGCGUCAGUUUUAAGAUCUCCUGCGGAUCCUGAAUCACUGAUGGAUGAAAAUCUUCCAGGGUUCGAACCCCUGUGGAUGCA